GGGCUUUUUCAGUGUAAAGUUUCUCAAAUAUGAUGUCAUAGAUGCUUAUAAAUUUUUCAGCCACUAAUCAAGACUGAUAUGUCUUUGUAGUAAUUCUACCAGAAAACUCCAAAUGUUAUAAAUGGCAAUAAAAUGUUCUGAAAAGCUACAGAACUACUGUUUUUUGGUUUAAACACUUGUUCUGAAUUAAUAUAAGAAGUUGUCUAUUAAUUAUUCUUGCUUAGAUGGAGUUAGAUGAAGUAUAUCUAUCCAUGCCCAAAAUUUCUUUAUGUACAUUUUAGAAUAUUUAUUUUGGGUGACUGAAAUGAUCAAUGUUUUAAUAAGUUUUAUCUUCCAUUUCAUUUGUAUGGGAGGCAUUUUUAAAAUUUAGAAAUACAUCAUUUAGUAAACUUGUUCAGUUUUGUGUCCCCCCCCCCCCCCAUAAAUACUGUUCAGGGUGUGAUUAAGAAUCUGAAACUCUUACAUUGAUUUAUUUAUUGUUAAAAAAAAUCCACCAAAUAUGCAUACUUCAGGAGAAAGUUCUAUAAAAUGAAUGUUUCAUCUUUAUUAUAACUAUGAAAAAAGGUCACUUAUUUUAGUUUAAAUACUGUACCAAGUAUUGUGGCUUUAUUAUUAUAAAGUCCACAUUUCAUAGUAAUAAAAAAGUGCUCUAUGCUAUGCAUUCAAACCAUCAUACAAUUUUUGGUUUUUCUUUGAAUAGACUUGUUGAAUGUGAAAAUCGCUACGAGGCUUCUAAGUUUCUUGGUAGCAUGUUAUCUGUGAAGCAUGCAGUAUAUGUCAAGAUUGCUCAUUUUGAACUAGUUUUUUUGUGGACAUACAUUUCAUUUUGAACAGGGCUCCAUCUUUUGAGUCCUGUAAAACUGUCUAUCAUUUUCAUUAAAAACUUGUUUCAGUCAUAGUACAAUUUUCUUUUGCUGUAACAUUGUCACCAACAGUUUUGUAAAUUAAUAAUUUUCCAUAUGUUUCAACAACACAUUCAUUGUAUAUACAUAAAUUAAACACUUCUAACCACUUGAAAAACAAGAUUUCAAUUUCUUAAUUGAAGACAUAGACAGUUUUCUUAUUUCAACAUUUCUCUCAAUGGAAUCAGUAAAUGCUGCUUUUUUCACAUAUGAUUUAACACUGUCUUGAUUUCAUCGUUAUCUGAAAAACUGGAACCAACAUUUCUCCUCUGAGGCUUUGCAUAAUUAACAAUUCUGUAUACAACCUUAGGUAAUUCAGGUAAAACUUUUGAUAUUACAUAGUUGAUUUUAACAAAAACUUAAAAAAAAAAACAACCCAACGCUAUCUAUCUCUAGGCAAAUUAUUUUGUCUUGACAACCGAAUUUACAUGUAUUCACAUUAGCUGUUAGAUUUCAAGCUAUCUGCAAAGAAAACAUUUGAACAAAACAAAUAGGCUAGAUAUUUUUUUUUCCAGUACUUAUGACCAAUUAUAAAAUCAAGCCCAAUUACUAAUUUGUUAAUCAUUUAGUUAAAAGACAUUGUAGAGAAUCAGAUUGGCAACUCAUUGGAUUGGAUCUGUAAGGGAGUUAAAAGAGAUUAAGGUGGUUCCCUCUUAAUGGUUUGGGAAUCUGGAUAACUACAAUAGUGGCACCCUCAAAAGAAAUAGAAGUUUGAAGAGCAGGAGGGGAACAAUGGUUGAGAUGAGCAGUUUCCUAAUAUAUAUAUAUCUAUAUAUAUCUAUAUGUGUGUGUGUAUAUAUAUGACAAUGCUGAAGUACAGUUCAGGGAUAAUUUAGGGUGUGUGUGCACCUAUUUAUGUACUUACAAAUUAGAAGCAAUGUAAAUAUAAGGUGCUGAAUGAAAUGGCAACUUUCUUGACUCUUGCACUAAAUGUCUCCUGGCAGCACCGGCUCAUGUAAGAAUUCUCUGUAUUCCCUCCCAUUCCCCAACCUAGCAAAGACAAGAUAGCACCAUGCAGUUGUUUAUUUAUAGUGUUGGUAGCAGUCUUUUUGCUGCAUUUACAGCUCAUUUCAUCUAAAAUUAGCUUUUUUCCCCCCAUACACAAUUUUUAAGUGCUGAUUUUCCUUUAUAUGCCACUAUCCAGUUUCAUUUCUCCACACCCCACCACUUUCAAAAUCUCCCCAAUUUCCUUUCAACUUUUCAAGCUGGAAGACAUUGCUUAGUAGUAGCCUCACCCUUUCUGAAAGAUUCUGUCCCCAAACUUUCUCCUCUAGUAAGCAAUACCCAAGUCUCAUGCAAGCAUAUUCCUUUACAUCUUACGGCAAAAUUUAAGCCAUGGUAGACCUGCAUGGAGGGAAAAUGUAGGACAUAAAAGUUGGUGAUAUCCUAGGACAGGUUAGGGCUAAAAUGAUUAUAGAUAAGGGGAUACAGAAAAGGGAAGAAAUUUUUGCCUCAAGACACAAAUCAUUAACAGAGCAAGAGCAACAGUCUAUAACCUAGAGGAUGGAAAAUUCAGUAGACUGGGGCUUCCGUUUUCUGUAGGCCUGCAAUUACUGAGCUGCAGAUAAGGGAAGUGUGCCAGGACUAAUUACUGCAAACACAAUCGAAGGAAAGGAGAAAGCAGAAGUAGCCAGUGGAAAUAGCAGUUUGGUUCAAGGUCUCGGGUCAGCAAUCAUUGCCAUUUGGCUUUUCCAAUUUAAACAGUUCAAAAUGAACUUCAAUCCCAUAAAUCUCUCUCUUAAUGGAAUACUUAUUAUAUUUAAUUUAGCAUAAUUAGACCAAAUAUAUGGAACUUUUUAGAUUUUUAUUUCCAGCUCUUUGUUGGCAGUUAAUUCCUGGGAAGAGAAUGUCAAUGGAUGAAACUGAAAUUACUAUUUCACUUCACUAAAACAUUCACCAAGUAUUCAUAAUGUAUAAGAGCCCAGUUUUCAUAUAAUGCUUCAAUAUAAUCUAUAUGACCCAUUUUAAUAAGACUAGUCAGCUGUUUUGUUGACUUCUAAAAUCACAAAUACUCUUUGUGCUCAACUUUUCCCAUAUGAUCUCAUUUUGCUUCAAUAUGGCAUAUUUAGGAUUAAGCAAACUAAAGAUGAUGGAGUCAUUGUGAAAAAUAAAAAAUCACAACACACCCAGAUACUGUUGGUAGAUCCAUGUAGACAUGGAGUUUUGUGACAUGAAGCCCUUUAGUAAUCAGUUUAAGGAUGUCUUCUUUAAAAAUUGAAGGCAAUACUAAAUUUCAGUUAGACAAUAGAAAAAUGUAUAUUCCCAUCCAAUGUCAAAGACUUUCUGAAAUCUAUGGGCUAUGUGGACUCCAGGUUAAGAAUCAUUGACGUAGCUCCAUUAAGAAAAUUUAGAUUGUUAGUAUUUUUCUAAUUACAUGGUACUUUCCUACUAGGAAGUUGGAAGGCAAGUUCAAUAUUAAAAUUUUCCCUGAAAUUCUCAGUCCCCUUCUACAUAGCUUCUUAUUUGCAGAUAUGGAUCUAGGUUUUGGCUAGUUAUUUUCAAGUAAAUUUUUUUUCUUGCCCAAUUGCAAACCUGAGAUACAGCUUUCCGUAUUCCUAAGAUGUUUUCCUGUAGAUAGAAAGUACUUAACAGUUGUAAUACUAACAUUAUUCCAAGUAGAAAAGGUGUAAUAAUACUUCACAGGUAAUUCUAUAUUUCAAUCUAAAAUAUAUUUAUUAAGGGUCUAAAACGUGCUGGAUGUCUACACACUAACAGAACAAAAACUGUUCUAAGUCCUCAGAACUCAGAUGGGGGUAGAAUGGGUAUCAGAGGAAAUGAGAACUAUCAUUUAUAUAACACCUAUUUUGUGUCAGACACAGUACUAAAUACUCUACAAAAAUUAUUUCACCCGUGAGAGGGAGAUGCUAUUCCCCCAUUUCCCAGUUGAGAAAACUCAAGCAAACAGAAAUUAAGUUACUUGCUACUAAAGUGUCUGAGGCUGAAUUAGAGUCGUUCCAACUCCAGGCUAAAUGCUCUCUGCACUUAACCACUUACAUGUGGUCCAUACCUUCUCAGAGCAGAGUAUAGACAGAAGUAUGCAUAUAUAAGGAGAAAGUUACUUGCUGGUCCAGUCUCAAACUCUACAGAGGAAAGGAGUAUAUGAUAGAAGGGAAAACUACUCACUGUUAUUCAUCUGCAUCAUCAGAACACUAACAGCAGCCAUCACCCCAUGGCGGGGAAGGAAGAAAGGGAAAAUGGGAUGGCAGUUUAGGAGAGAAAGCUCAUCACCACCGUGACAGAGGGAGGUGUCCAGCUUAUACUGUCAAAAAUGGAAAAUUCACCCACCUCAAGAUCAUGUCACCUGACCUUUUUCAGGCAGGGUCAAGAUGGCCUGAGCACCUCCAUCUGAACAAAUAAGCCUACAACCUGCUCCUCCUAAAGGAUGAAAACUACAGG
rnacentral:lncRNA from 1 species